CCUUUAUCCUAAAUCAGGGUUGGGACCAGGUGAAGAACCCUUGCUGAUUCCCAUCACUGAAUUUAGAACAGCAGGGCACGACUAACGAGCCGUCCUGCUCCCACCCCUGGGGGCGGGGUGGGGGGUGCUCCGGGCAGGCUCUCUCACGUGUACGGUCUGCAGAGGUUGGUCGGGACAGGGUAGGACGCGGCUCCCGCGGCCCCAGGUCAGCGCGCGCCCCUCCUCCGGGCCUGAGUCACCGCGUCGCCCGAGUCCCCACGCCAGGAUGCUGCGCUGAGCGCGGUCGGGACGCCGCGGGGCCCUGGGGGCGCUGGCAGCGUGGGGUUCUCGGCCGCCCGGCGGCGCCGCUCGGGACCUGCUCGGACGCUCGGCGGCCUGCGCGCCCGGGCCUCCAUGGCGUUCACCCGGAAGAGGCAGCGCGAGCAGCAGCUGCAGCUCUACUCCUCCAAGGAGAGGUUCUCCUUGCUGCUGCUCAAUUUGGAGGAAUACUACUUCGAGCAGCACACGGCUUUCCACGUCCAGAGCCAGGACAGCCACGAGGAGAGGAAAACCAGAGGCUCCUUAAAAAUAUGUUCAAAAUCAGUGAUUUUUGAACCAGAUGCUAUCUCCCAGCCCAUCAUUAAGAUCCCUUUGAGAGACUGUUUGAAAAUAGGAAAACGUGGAGAAAAUGGAGCCAACAGACACCUUGCAAAGGCAAAAUCUUCAGGUAUUUCACUCAUUUUCAGACAGGUGUAUUUCAUUAAAGAACACAACAUUGUGGCGCCAUAUAAGAUAGAACGGGGAAAGAUGGAGUAUGCCUUUGAACUGGAGGUUUCUGGGAAGGUGGAGGAUGUUGUGGAGACGCUGCUUCAGCUGCACAGAGCAUCCUGUCUUGAUAAACUUGGUGACCAAACGGCCAUGAUAACAGCUAUCUUGCAGUCACGUUUGGCUAGGACAUCAUUUGACAAAAACAGGUUCCAAAAUGUUUCUGAGAAGCUGCAUAUGGAGUGCAAAGCUGAGAUGGUGACGCCUCUGGUGACGAAUCCGGGACACGUGUGCAUCACAGACACCAACCUGUACUUCCAGCCUCUCAAUGGACACCCGAAACCUGUGGUCCAGAUAACACUCCAAGACAUCCGGCGCAUUUACAAAAGGAGGCACGGCCUCAUGCCUUUGGGCUUGGAAGUGUUUUGCACGGAAGACGACCUGUGUUCCGACAUAUACCUAAAGUUCUAUGAACCUCAAGACCGAGACGACCUCUAUUUCUACAUCGCCACAUACCUAGAGAACCACGCCACGGAGCACACCGCAGAGAGCUACAUGCUGCAGUGGCAGCGAGGGCACCUUUCCAACUACCAGUACCUGCUCCACCUCAACAACCUGGCCGACCGCAGCUGCAAUGACCUCUCCCAGUACCCUGUGUUUCCGUGGAUAAUAAAUGACUACUCCAGCCCGGAGUUAGAUUUGUCGAAUCCUGAAACCUUCCGAGAUCUUAGUAAGCCAGUGGGCGCCUUAAAUCAGGAACGGCUGGAGAGACUGCUGACGCGAUACCAGGAAAUGCCCGAGCCGAAGUUCAUGUAUGGGAGCCACUACUCUUCGCCGGGCUAUGUGCUCUUCUACCUCGUCAGGAUCGCACCGGAGUAUAUGCUGUGUCUACAGAAUGGAAGAUUUGAUAAUGCAGAUAGGAUGUUCAACAGUAUUGCAGAAACCUGGAAAAACUGUUUGGAUGGCGCAACGGAUUUUAAAGAGUUGAUCCCGGAAUUUUAUGACGACGAAGUCAGCUUUUUAGUCAAUAGUCUGAAGCUGGACCUGGGAAAGAGACAAGGAGGACAGAUGGUUGAUGACGUGGAGCUUCCAGCAUGGGCCUCAAGUCCCCAGGACUUCCUCCAGAAGAACAAGGCCGCCUUGGAAAGCAGUUAUGUCUCCGAGCACCUUCACGAGUGGAUUGAUCUCAUAUUUGGCUAUAAGCAAAAAGGGAGUGAGGCUGUAGGAGCCCACAACGUAUUUCAUCCCCUGACCUAUGAAGGUGGUGUAGACUUAAACAGCAUCGAGGAUCCUGAUGAGAAAGUAGCCAUGCUGACCCAAAUUUUGGAAUUUGGGCAGACACCAAAACAGUUGUUUGUGACACCGCAUCCUCGAAGGAUCACCACCAAGUUCAAAAGUGUGUCCCAAGCCUCCAGCUAUAAUGUGUCUGUGACAGAUUCCCCAGUCUCUCCAGCAGAGGAGUCAUUCGAAGACCUGACCGAGGAAAGUAGAAGCCUGGCCUGGAAUAACAUCACCAAGUUGCAGCUGCAUGAACAGUACAAAAUCCACAAAGAGGCAGUUACAGGGAUAGCAGUGUCUUGCAAUGGGUCUUCAGUCUUUACCACAUCACAAGAUUCCACUCUGAAGAUGUUUUCUAAGGAAUCCAAAAUGCUACAAAGAAGCAUAUCAUUUUCAAAUAUGGCUCUAUCAUCUUGUUUACUUUUGCCAGGAGACACCACUGUCAUAAGUUCUUCCUGGGAUAACAACGUCUAUUUUUAUUCCAUAGCAUUCGGAAGACGUCAGGACACAUUGAUGGGACAUGAUGAUGCUGUCAGCAAGAUCUGUUGGCAUAACGACAGGCUGUAUUCUGCAUCGUGGGACUCUACCGUAAAGGUGUGGUCCGGUGUUCCUGCAGAAAUGCCAGGCACUAAAAGACACCAGUUUGACUUGCUGGCCGAGCUGGAACAUGAUGUCAGUGUCAAUACCAUCAAUUUAAAUACUGCAAGCACACUGUUAGUUUCUGGCACCAAAGAAGGUGUGGUGAAUAUUUGGGACCUCACUACGGCCACCUUGUUACACCAGAUUUCAUGCCAUUCAGGGACAGUGUGUGAUGCUGCUUUUAGCCCAGAUAGUCGCCACAUCCUCAGCACGGGAGUAGACGGCUGUCUAAACGUGAUUGAUGUGCAGACGGGCAUGCUCAUCUCGUCCAUGGCCUCGGAGGAGCCACAGAGGUGCUUCGUCUGGGAUGGAAAUUCUGUCUUAUCUGGAAGUCGGUCUGGUGAGCUGCUUGUCUGGGACCUCCUUGGAGCAAAAAUCAGUGAGCGGAUACAGGGCCACACAGGUGCCGUGACAUGCAUAUGGAUGAACGAGCAGUGCAGCAGCAUCAUCACGGGAGGGGAAGACAGGCAGAUUAUGUUCUGGAAACUGCAGUAUUAAGUGCCUUUUCCUCGCUGUUGAGUUCACGUCUAUUGAAUGUGAACUGGCGAAUGUGCAAAGACAGUACUUUAACUACAUGAAGAAUUUGUGGUUUCAGCUUCCUAAAUCAUGAUGACUUCAUUCAAAGCCACUUGUUGUCAUCCAUUAAGGCAGAUAAAUAUAUGGCGGUGUUAGGGGCAAGAACAUUCUUUUGAAGACAGGACUGUCACCUGUGAUGAAGGUUACAAGACUGUACCCGGUGGCAGAGGAUAAGAACUACCCAUCCAACCGAGGAGACCGCAGGCAGCACUGGCCAGCCCAGUUCUCCGAGAGGAAGAAGCCUCUGACCCAAGUGCCCAGUUGUCACCAGGGUCUUCAGUGUGUUUUCAUGGAUUGCUGCCCUCUGCAGUGCUGUGUGCCCAGAUUCUAAGAAUCUGGGGGAGGAAUAUACUGUGUAUAUUUAAGAAUCACAGCCAAGCGGUGGUGGCUCACGCCUUUAAUCCCAGCACUCAGGAGGCAGAGAAAGGUGGCUCUCUGUGAGUUCGAGACCAGCCUGGUCUACAAGAGCUAGUUCCAGGACAGGCUACAAAGCCACACAGAAACCCUGUCUCAAAAAACAAAUAAGUCGUAAGUAUUACUCCUACAAAACUGUACUUAGUAACAAAUAUAAUUUGUUUCAUUUCUUUUGGGCUUACCAUCAGGACUGAGUCCAGAACACAAGGUUGAUAAACUGGGGAAUGUCAAUGUCCAACAAGGUAAGUUAUAUAGCAAUAACAAUGAUUUUCUUUUUAUAUUUCAUCUCUGAACAGCGAACAUAUGAUCACAAACUUUCUAAACUGUUGAGAGUACUGUUAUAGUCUAGAGACUUAGUCAGUUUUAAGCAUCACUGAAUACAUGUUGGUGGUCUGGUUUUACUGGCGAUGCAGAAGCCUCACCAGGUUCCCUC